rnacentral:tRNA from 1 species
ACUGCUUUAGCUCAGCUGGUAGAGCGUCAGAGUAUAAAUCUGGAGGCUGUGGGUUCAAAUCCCGUCGACAGUC